rnacentral:lncRNA from 1 species
GGGGUGGUUUGGGAGCAGCAGGGCUUUGUGAUAACCCCAAAGACCCCUCCUCUUUCCACCCCCUGCUGCCUCCUCCCUUCCCGCGGGUGUUCCGCAUUAUGGAGCAAGCCAAGAGGAAGUCCACCAGACGGCUCCGGAGGAUGUCUUCCUGAGCCUCACCUGCCCGAGGCCCCCCACCCGAAGGGAAAGCAGACAAGGACAAGCAAAACCAGCAGGCUCCCGGCCCCCCUCUCCUCCUUCGGCUCCAUUUCCCUCCCAGCCCUCCUCCCAGCCUCCCACCCCACCCCGCUCUGGGCCUCCCUCCCAGCAUCCCUCACGGCUCCCCUCAAAGUCUGCCUUGCUGUAAGAAAGAGCUGUGGUGCCAGGUUAGCACAGGUGCGCACAGCCUGCCCUGGGCUGCAGGGGGUACGGGGCUGGAGGGGUGGGUGUGGCUCUCUGCAGAUUGAGGCCACUCACCUUCGAGACCUGCCGGAGAACCCCCGUGUGUUUCUGUGGAGAAGGGUCCCCUGGAGUCCCGCCUGGGUGGCCCGUGGUCUCAUUGAGCCCUGGCCAUGGAAGCAGCCUCAGAGGAACACCUGCCAUGUCCUGUCAAGGAGAAGCCCUGUGGGUGACCGAAGCGGUGAUGAAGCUGUACUUAUGAAGGUUCCAGGAAGGCCACAACGACCGUCCCUGCCCCCACGCCCUGCCUCCGCUCACAGCAGCGCAGCAUCACGGUGUGGUCGUGUCCCUGGCUGCCACACCCACUCCAUCUGUUUUCCGUGUGGCUGCUCUGAGGCAUCUGCCAGCGUCCUCUGCCCCCCGCUCCCCACCCACUGAGCCUGGUUCUCCCUGUCCCCCGGGACCCUGGUCUGCCUCUUCCAAAGGCUCCUCUUCCUUCUCCCUGCCUGGUGGGUCCCUCAGCCCCAAGCCCGCCUCUCUCCCUCACUCUCCCCUCUGCACCUGCCACCCUUGGGUUUCUCUCUCAUUCCCCCCCCCCCCCCGGCUUUCAACUGGCAUCUUAUUCCAGCCAGGAACUGCCCUGAGCUCCCAACAAUCUAGACUUUUCCAAUGAGUUCUCUCACCCUCCUGAAGCCCAAAGGGAAAUGGGAUCUUCUCCCACCCUCUGGACACAGCUCGUCAGCCCACCAGCUCUGGGGGCUCUUACUGCCAGGGUGGUAGGCAAGGGAAGGCAUGGCUGCAGCAUUGUCAAGAGAAGAACACCUAUUUCCUGAAAAAUAGAAAACUUUGGGAGUUCCCGUCAUGCUUUAGCAGAAACAAAUCUCACUAGUAUCCAUGAGGAUGCAGGUUCGAUCCGUGGCCUGGCUCAGUGGGUUAAGAAUCCUGCAAUGCUGUGGCUGUGGUGUAGGCGGCAGACACAGCUCGGAUCCCUGCAUUGCUGUGGCUGUGGUGUAGGCCGGUGACUACAGCUCCGAUUGGAGCUCCAAUUCGACGCCUAGCCUGGGAACCUCCAUAGGAUGGGUGUGGCCCUAAAAAAAAAAAGAAAACUUUGUAAAUAAAUACAAGUGAUAAAGACA